rnacentral:antisense_RNA from 1 species
UGUGAUGAGCGGGCUUGUUGUGGCAAGCCCGCUCGCCACAACAAGCCAGCUCAACACAGCAAGCCCGCUCGCCACA